rnacentral:rRNA from 1 species
GAUGAACGCUAGCUACAGGCUUAACACAUGCAAGUCGAGGGGAAACGACAUCGAAAGCUUGCUUUUGAUGGGCGUCGAACGGCGCACGGGAGAGUAACGCGUACCCAACCUGCCCAUCACUUGGGAAUAACCUUGCGAAAGUAAGACUAAUACACAAUGACAUCCCCCGAAGACAUCUGAAUGGGAUUAAAGUUUUAUCGGUGAUGGAUGGGGAUGCGUCUGAUUAGCUUGUGGGCGGGGUAAAGGCCCACCAAGGCAACGAUCAGUAGGGGUUCUGAGAGGAGGCACCCCCAGAUUGGAACAGGGACAAGGUCCAAACGCCAACGGGAGGCAGCGAUGAGGAAGAUAGGGCCAUGGGCGAGAGCCUGAAACAGCCAAGGAGUGUGCAGGAUGACGGCCUUAUGGGUUGUAAACUGCAUUUAAAAGGGAAUAAAGGGGGUCUCGUGAGACUUUUUGAAGGUACCUUAUGAAUAAGGACCGGCUAAUUACGUG